GGGCCCGUCAUGGUCUACAUGUUAGUCGAGCGGAAGAUGGGAGCUUGCUCCCUGAUGUUAGCGGCGGACGGGUGAGUAACACGUGGGUAACCUGCCUGUAAGACUGGGAUAACUCCGGGAAACCGGGGCUAAUACCGGAUGCUUGUUUGAACCGCAUGGUUCAAACAUAAAAGGUGGCUUCGGCUACCACUUACAGAUGGACCCGCGGCGCAUUAGCUAGUUGGUGAGGUAAUGGCUCACCAAGGCAACGAUGCGUAGCCGACCUGAGAGGGUGAUCGGCCACACUGGGACUGAGACACGGCCCAGACUCCUACGGGAGGCAGCAGUAGGGAAUCUUCCGCAAUGGACGAAAGUCUGACGGAGCAACGCCGCGUGAGUGAUGAAGGUUUUCGGAUCGUAAAGCUCUGUUGUUAGGGAAGAACAAGUGCCGUUCAAAUAGGGCGGCACCUUGACGGUACCUAACCAGAAAGCCACGGCUAACUACGUGCCAGCAGCCGCGGUAAUACGUAGGUGGCAAGCGUUGUCCGGAAUUAUUGGGCGUAAAGGGCUCGCAGGCGGUUUCUUAAGUCUGAUGUGAAAGCCCCCGGCUCAACCGGGGAGGGUCAUUGGAAACUGGGGAACUUGAGUGCAGAAGAGGAGAGUGGAAUUCCACGUGUAGCGGUGAAAUGCGUAGAGAUGUGGAGGAACACCAGUGGCGAAGGCGACUCUCUGGUCUGUAACUGACGCUGAGGAGCGAAAGCGUGG
rnacentral:rRNA from 1 species